rnacentral:rRNA from 1 species
CGCGUAGGUGGUUCGUUAAGUUGGAUGUGAAAGCCCCGGGCCCAACCUGGGAACUGCAUCCAAAACUGGCGAGCUAGAGUAUGGCAGAGGGUGGUGGAAUUUCCUGUGUAGCGGUGAAAUGCGUAGAUAUAGGAAGGAACACCAGUGGCGAAGGCGACCACCUGGGCUAAUACUGACACUGAGGUGCGAAAGCGUGGGGAGCAAACA